rnacentral:rRNA from 1 species
ACUAGUCCGAGUUGUAAUUUAAAGAAGCGUUUUCGGUGGCAGCCUGGGUAUAAAUCCUUUGGAAUAGGGUAUCAUAGAGGGUGAGAAUCCCGUCUUUGACCUAGUGCAUGCUACUAUGUGAUACGUUUUCAAAGAGUCGAGUUGUUUGGGAAUGCAGCUCAAAAUGGGUGGUAAAUUUCAUCUAAAGCUAAAUAUUGGCGAGAGACCGAUAGCGAACAAGUACCGUGAGGGAAAGAUGAAAAGAACUUUGAAAAGAGAGUUAAACAGUGCGUGAAAUUGUUGAAAGGGAAACGUUUGACACCAGUCAUGUGGGUGGAAAAUCAGUCUUUUGCAUUGGGGAGUUGUAAGGGUUCGGACCGCAAGGCCGGCUUUUGCUUCAUCUUUGGUGUAAGUGAUGCACUUUUUCAUCUACAGGUCAACAUCAGUUUCUUUUGCUGGACAAAACUCCGAGAGAAGGUAGCAGCUUAGGCUGUGUUAUAGCUCUGGAGCGAUACAGUGAAGGGGACUGAGGUUUUCGCAGCGUGUGCUCUCGGGCAAGGCUGGAUGGGUGCUAUGGGAUCGUUCGGGGUACAAUGCCUGGCAUUUUGCUUCGUGUCUUUUCUAUACUCGCUCAACUCAGCUCUUCCACGCUUAGGAUGUUGACUUAAUGGUUUUAAACGACCCGUCUUGAAACACGGACCAAGGAGUCUAACAUAUAUGCAAGUGUUUGGGUGGCAAACCCAUGCGCGUAAUGAAAGUGAACGUAGGUGCGAUCCGCAAGGUGCAGCAUCGACCGAUCUUGAUAUUUUUGGAUAGAUUUGAGUAAGAGCAUAUAUGCUGGGACCCGAAAGAUGGUGAACUAUGCCUGAAUAGGGUGAAGCCAGAGGAAACUCUGGUGGAGGCUCGUAGCGAUUCUGACGUGCAAAUCGAUCGUCAAAUU